UACGUAGGGUGCAAGCGUUGUCCGGAAUUAUUGGGCGUAAAGAGCUCGUAGGUGGCCUGUCGCGUCGGCUGUGAAAACUCGGGGCUCAACUCCGAGCUUGCAGUCGAUACGGGCAGGCUAGAGUUCGGCAGGGGAGACUGGAAUUCCUGGUGUAGCGGUGAAAUGCGCAGAUAUCAGGAGGAACACCGGUGGCGAAGGCGGGUCUCUGGGCCGAUACUGACACUGAGGAGCGAAAGCGUGGGGGAGCAAACAGG
rnacentral:rRNA from 1 species